rnacentral:rRNA from 1 species
UGGUAGUNCACGCCGUAAACGAUGAGUGCUAGGUGUUGGAUCCUUUCCGGGAUUCAGUGCCGCAGCUAACGCAUUAAGCACUCCGCCUGGGGAGUACGACCGCAAGGUUGAAACUCAAGGGAAUUGACGGGGGCCCGCACAAGCGGUGGAGCAUGUGGUUUAAUUCGAAGCAACGCGAAGAACCUUACCAGGUCUUGACAUCCCGAUGCUAUUUCUAGAGAUAGAAAGUUACUUCGGUACAUCGGUGACAGGUGGUGCAUGGUUGUCGUCAGCUCGUGUCGUGAGAUGUUGGGUUAANNNNNNCAACGAGCGCAACCCCUAUUGUUAGUUGCCAUCAUUCAGUUGGGCACUCUAGCGAGACUGCCGGUAAUAAACCGGAGGAAGGUGAGGAUGACGUCAAAUCAUCAUGCCCCUUAUGACCUGGGCUACACACGUGCUACAAUGGUUGGUACAACGAGUUGCGAGUCGGUGACGGCAAGCUAAUCUCUUAAAGCCAAUCUCAGUUCGGAUUGUAGGC